UCUCUCUCCGGCGCAUCGACGAGAUCGCGUCAAAGUCGCGUCGUCGCGAUUUGAAUCGCGCGCCGUGUUCCAACCGCGACUCACAAUUGUUACUUCCAAUCCUGAACAAUGUGUGCAAUUUGAUAGUAUUAUAAAUGGAGGUUUAUUGGUGUAGAGAAAAAUGAACUGGAAGGAAAACGAUAGUUGGAGUUUUCGAGUAGAAGAACUUUUGGGACAGAGAAACAAAUUACGGCGAUUAAUUUUUAAAGAGCAGAACAUUCUUCUCGAGUGUCGAGCACGGAAUUCAAAGGCUAUAUAUCGAAGAGGACACGCCCGGGGACCGAUGUUCCUCACAAGGCCCGACCGUGGCCUACGAAUUGGCCAUGAGAAUCCUUCCAAUGCCUCCAUCUGUCGAAGUCAAAGUGGGAGCACUGUGCGACCGAACAUCCGAUGGAAAGUUGUUGGAAGAAGUUUUCAACCUGGCGAGAGUUAAUCUAGGCGUUGAAACGAUUGAUUCCAGCAUGAACUUCAAGAAAUUUGCAUGGAACGAUCGAUUGAAAUCGUGAGGAAUGAAGGGAUUUCAGGCAGAAUUGAAUUUUCAACGAUCACCGGAGCCCAGCAACGAGACACCGGCACCAGUGUCACGCGAAUAUUGAUCGCGCCGUUGCAUAAUUUAAACCCGGUGGUGGUCUAUGGUGUCGAUUCACAGUCGACGUCCAGGAAUUACAUCAAUCUUCGUAUUUCUCGAAAACCAGCGUUUCUCCCUUCCAAUCUCUCUCUCUCUCUCUCUCUCUCUCUCUCUCUCUCUCUCUCUCUCUCUCGUUCUGGGAGAGCAACCAAAUUUGGAUCGGUGUCUGCGUUCAACCACCGUGUCAAAGAAGAAUUCAACCGGUUCCAUCAACUUCGCCACGUAGACGAAAGAAAUACUUGCAAUGUCAUUGGUGCAGGAAAUUGGGCCAGGUUGUAACAAAAAAGUUCGCCACAGUUUUUUCUUUCUCGAGAAUGUUCUUAACACUAGGAUUUACGGAGCUCAAAAAAACAGUUGUUUCAUAUUAAUUUAUAAAAGUAACAAUAGGACAUUUAUUCUGUUU